GCCGGGCGUGGUGGCUCACGCCUGUAGUCCCAGCUACUCAGGAGGCUGAGGCAGGAGAAUUGCUUGAACCCAGGAGGCAGAGGUUGCAGUGAGCCGAGAUCGUGCCACUGCACUCCAGCCUGGGCAACAGAGCAAGACUCUGUCUAAA
rnacentral:SRP_RNA from 1 species